rnacentral:rRNA from 1 species
AUGGUGGAUGCCUAGGUAGUUUAAGCCGAAGAAGGACGCGUGUUUGAGCGCGAAAACAACGGUUAGUCCUCUAACAGACAUUACCAACCGUUGGUUUCCGAAUGGGGCAACCCCGCCCUGCGCAAGCAGGGUGAACCUGUAUUACACGAGGAAAUUAUAAUAAUCAAAUACUACAAAUUGCUCAAAUAAGCAAAUAAAUCAAUAAAUGAAAAAAUGAUUUAAUAAUUUAAUUCCUUAAAAUAUUCAAACAUUUAUUUGUAAUAUUUAUCGGAUUUGUUUAUUUGUAGUAUUAAUUUGAUUUUCUAGUGUAGUACAGGUGGGGAACCUGGUGAACUGAAACAUCUAAGUAGCCAGAGGAAAAUAAAACAUAUGUGAUUUCGUUAGUAGCGGCGAGCGAAAGCGAAACAGUCUAAACCUCUUGUGCGUGGCACUAGAGUUAUUUAGUAAAUUUAGUGAUGAGUGACUUAGCGAAAAACUAAGCAACUAAUUAACUUAAAACUAAUAACUCUCGUGCUGCGUAUGAGAGGUGUUGCAGGGCAGAUAAUAUGGGAUUGGUUGCGGAUAGGAGAAUGAUCUGGAAAGAUCAAUCAUAGAAAGUGAUAAUCUUGUAUCCUAAAUCUAAAACCACCUUAUUCUGUUCCUAAGUACCACGAGUCACGGCAAACCUUGUGGGAAUCCGGGUCGGUCACGAUCCAAGACUAAACACUUAAACUGACCGAUAGUGAACUAGUACCGUGAGGGAAAGGUGAAAAGUCCCCCGAGAGGGGAGUGAAAUAGAACCUGAAACCAUUAGCUAACAAACAGGCAGAACAUCUCGUUUCCACUCAAUGCUCUUAAGAUAAAAAGUAAAAUCUAAAAAGUAAAAAAUAUUUAAAAAACUUUUUAUAUAUUAUUUUUAAAAUUUUAAAUUGGAGCACCGAGUGGAGACGAGGUGCGAUGCCGUGCCUAUUGAAGAAUGAGCCAGCGAGUUCCCGCUUAGUGUUUUGCUUAACCCCGAAUUAUUCGUGGGAAGGCAGAGGGAAACCAAGUCCUAAUAGGGCGAUUUUAUACUUAGCGGGAGACCCGAAACUGGAUGAGCUAACCAUGAGCAGGGUGAACUCCGAUCACAAUCGGAGGAAGGCCCGUACCCGUUGUUGGUGAAAUAACAUGGGACGACUUGUGGUUAGAGGUUAUAUGCCUAUCGAAUCCAGAGAUAGCUGGUUCUCCCCGAAAUAUAUUUAGGUAUAGCCUUCCGGUAAUUUUUUGCGGGAUAGAGCUACUAGAUGUCCCACCAAGCGAAAGCAAGGCGGGACAACUAAACUCCGAAUACGCAAAUAUUUUACGGAGGAGUCAGUCUCGCCGGGAUAAGCCGGUGCAGGCGAAAGGGAAACAUCCCAGAUUCCCGUUUAAGGUUCUCAAAUGUUUUUUAAGUGGAAAAGGCCGUUGAAUUUCCAACACAGUAGGGAGGUUGGCUCAGAAGCAGCCAUCCUUUAAAGAGUGCGUAACAGCUCACCUAAAUAACCCUCCGAUUCGGAGGGGAAAUUCUGCGCUUAAAAUGAUCGGAGCUAAAAAAACUACCGAAAACGGAGACUUGUGCGUAGCACAAGGCAGUUCUUAAAGUUCGUAAAGUAAAAAGUUCGUAAAGUUAAAUUGUGAAAACCAAUUUUCUUUAUAAACUUUAAAAACUUUAUAACUUUAUAACUUCCUCGCGCUGCGCACGAGUGGUAGGGGAGCGUCCGCCGCGCAGUGAAGCAAAAUUGUAAGAUUUUGUGGAGCGCUGGCGGAGCGAGAAUGCUGGCAUAAGUAGUGUAUCUCUCGAUGAAAACUCGAGAUGCCGAAAAUCCAAGGUUUCCUCAGCAAUGUCAAUCAUCUGAGGGUUAGUCGGAUCUAACUCCUCACCAGUUUUGGUGAGGGGGAUGUAUAAGCAGUUAAAAUUCUGCUACUUAUAUUCAUUCGUUAUUACUUACACGCUAACGAAAUUUGAUAUUCUGCCCCUUCUAUUUGAAGGGUCAAGUUAUAAACUGUCUCGCAAGAUUCAGCGAGUAACAAAUACAACUCUGAUGUAAUGUCGGGGGAGGCGGAAGACUUAAGUUCCCAAGAAAAAGCGUGUCAGGAGAAUGUGUAUAAUCCGUACCGAUAACCGACACUGGUGGAUUGGUAGAGUAUACCCAGGCAUACGGACAAUAAUGAUUCAAGGAACUCGGCAAAAAAGCUGGACGUAACUUAUUGGAUAUGUCCUCCCCGAUUUAAUCGGGGUACAACAAAUGAUUGUCAACCGACUGUUUAGCAAAAACACAGGCUCCUGCUAACCUGAAUAAGGGAUGUAUAGGAGCUGAAACCUGUCCGGUACUGGUAAGUCAAUCGCUGCGGCUAACUCUAAGCAAUUAGUGAAGGCUGCGGUGCAAGCUCCAGUGAACGACAGCUCUAACCCUGAGAGUUCUAAGGUAGCGUAACCCCUUGCCGGGUAAGUUCCGGCCCGCAUGAAAGGUCUAACGAGUUGACAGCUGUCUUGAAUCAUUUUCCGACGAAAUUGAAAUGGCUGUGAAGAUGCGGCCUACCUACACCUGGACAAAAAGACCCCGAGAGCUUAACUGAAACUAGGCAUUGGUGGGAAGAGACGAACUGUUGAGAGUAGGAGGGAGUCUUCGGACAACGAUGAAACACCUCUCUUUUGUUUUUUUUCACCUUACCGCGUCUGACGCGGAACAGUACUUGGUGGUCAGUUUAACUGGGGCGGUUUCCUCCAAAAGAGUAACGGAGGAGCGCAACGGUCAGCUUAUCCCGCAUAGAAAUCGGGAUGGAAGUGCAAACGCAAAAGCUGGCCUAACUGUGAGGAUGACUAUCCUAGCAGAGACGAAAGUCGGCGUUAGUGAUCCUCGGUCCCGCCGUGAUGGCGGACCGGGCUUAACGGAUAAAAGCUACCUCGGGGAUAACAGGCUAGUCGCGUCCGAGAGUUCAUAUCGACGACGCGGUUCGGCACCUCGAUGUCGGCUCAUCGCAUCCUGGGGCUGUAGUCGGUCCCAAUGGUCGGGCUGUUCGCCCGUUAAAGCGGUACGUGAGCUGGGUUCAGAACGUCGUGAGACAGUUCGGACUCUAUCCGGUGUAGGCGUAUAGAAUUUUGCAGAGAAUCUUCUACAGUACGAGAGGACCUAGAAGAAGAGAUCCCUGGUCUACCGGUUGUUCUAAUCGAGCAUCGCCGGGUAGCUAUAUCUCUAAUUGAUAAACACUGAAUGCAUAUCAAGUGUGAAGCAAACUCUAAGAUUAAAAUUCCCUAUAGCUUUCCCGAAGAAUACGGGAUUAAUAGGCGUCAGGCGUAAGCUUCGUAAGGAGUUUAACCGAGACGUACUAA